rnacentral:hammerhead_ribozyme from 1 species
AUCCAGCUGACGAGUCACAAAUAGAACGAAACGCGCAUCCUGGAU